UACUUGACAGCUGACCGUUAUAAGUAUAAAUAGGUACAGGGAAGUAAAAUUAAAAGACCAAAAUUGAAAAUUCAAAUGUAAGGAGGAGGAUAGCAAGAGGAAUAAGAUAUUGUUAAAUCAAGUAGAGAAGAAUAUUAGGUGAUCUAGUGAGGUGGAAAGAAAAAAGAGCAAAGGAUCGAAUGGGGCUGAUGGGGAACGCGAUGAAGGAAAAGGAGAGCUUGGUCCAGAUGUUGGCGAUGACCGCAAUCCUUGGUCUGAGCGUGAGGUGUUUGGAUCACAAGUACCGAAUCCGGCAGCUUCAAAAGGAAACCACUGCCCUCAGACACACGCAAGUAUCCCUCACGCGCCGCAUCAAAAGCAUCAAGCGUGCCCUCCUUCGCGAAGCUUCUCUCCACUCUCUUUUUCCGACCACAACAACAACAUUGAAUACUGCCCUCUCUUCACUGUGAGUUUAAUUUUCGCAGGGAUUUCCGAUCUUGUUUAGUUCUUAUGAAUCAAAAACGAAUGCGGUUAUGAUAAUUACAACGGUUAAUGUCUAGUGUAGUGAAACAAUUAAACAAUUAUAUUCUUUGGCUUAUCCUCUUCUUAAGGUCAUCCCUUCCAUCUGGAUUUUAAGAGUGUGAUUCUAUAAUAUAUGGUUCCCAGUUGACGUGUUGUAGUUUUAUUCGUCGUCGUCUCUGUUCUAUAUAUAGUUUUGCUUUUCUUUUAAUCAACCUGGAUCUUGUCUGGUGUGCCACGCGUACUAGUGAAUGCUUGCGAUGAUUAUUAAUUUUA